rnacentral:rRNA from 1 species
AAAAUAUUGAGAGAACAUGACGGUACCUAAGGAGGAAGCCCCGGCUAACUACGUGCCAGCAGCCGCGGUAAUACGUAGGGGGCAAGCGUUGUCCGGAAUUAUUGGGCGUAAAGGGCGCGUAGGCGGAUAUUUAAGUCCGGUGUGAAAGAUCAAGGCUCAACCCUGAAAGUGCAUCGGAAACUGGUUAUCUUGAGGACAGGAGAGGAAAGUGGAAUUCCAGGUGUAGCGGUGAAAUGCGUAAAUAUGUGGAGGAACACCAGUGGCGAAGGCGACUUUCUGGACUGUAACUGACGCUGAGGCGCGAAAGCGUGGGGAGCAAACAGGAUUAGAUACCCUGGUAGUCCACGCCGUAAACGAUGAGUGCUAGGUGUAGAGGGUAUCGACCCCUUCUGUGCCGCAGUUAACACAAUAAGCACUCCGCCUGGGGAGUACGGCCGCAAGGUUGAAACUC